GGGAGAUUAAUGGGCCUCGUUCUCAAGUAGUAAGCAAUGGCAGUUUUUGAAAAUAUAAGCAUACUUUGCAUUUCAUUAUGAGAGAAAAAGGAGGGACAUUAAUUGUAAUAACUUGAAAGUAAGAAUGCAGAAUGGAACCUGUUCUGGGGUCGUACUAGCAAUGGUGAGUAUGGCUCAUUCAGCAAUCACCUCUUCUGCAUGACAUGACACCCACACUAUGCCGGGCUUUUUUUUUUGCUUCUGUAUAAUUGGUGCUUGUGGAGUGACAGUGGACAAGGAAGCCUCUACCCACACACGCCAGACCUGAAUUCUCAGUCUACUUCCUGAGUAAAAGGAAGAGAAGAGGGAAGGAAUUUUUCUGCUGUCUGUCUUUCACUGGAGAAUCUUUCACAAAGCCCCACAGUCUGGGGGCUGUCAGACAGGCUCACAGCCUGUUUUGCCAUCCUAUGGUGAAGAUCUCCAUAGCAGAGACAGAGAGGCAGGGAAGAGAUCUGCAACCUGAGCCUCCUAUCACACUGGUAUCAUUUCCCUCAAUGUAGAGUUCAUAUCCUGGUGCGCUUCUGUGUGUAUGUCCCUUGGUGCAAGUGCCAUGGGAGGAGCAGCAGCAGGUAUGGGCACAGGGCAAGGAAAGGGUCUCUCAGGGGCCUUCAGAAUUUGUGAAGACGGAGCAAUGGUAGAUCUGAAAAGGAAUACUAAAUGUGAAAUAUGGGGGUGGGAGAUUUAAAAGUUAAGAUAUGGAGAAAGCAAUGAAAGUUUGUAGAUUUAUUCCUGGCUGAAGUCAGAGAUCAAAAACACUACUUGCAUGGUGAAUGGAGAAGAGAGAAAUCUUCCGUCUUUUCCAAAGAGUGAUCUGGAGAUGAUUGAGGACAUGCAGAGAAGCACGUGAUGGCUAAUAUGGGAAGGAGGCUGGGAAAGACAUAGUGCUCUGGGGUAUCCAAAAUGGGAAUUUUGUAAGCCGUCUGCUCUCAUACACUGAUAAAGGGAAGGGCUGUCAACGGCUGUGGUACGUGGUUAGCUCAAGAGCUAGGAUGUACUCUCCUCUUUGUUACUUUUCUAGAUGGUUCAAAGCAGUACUUUGCUGAGAUAGCACUCUUGUGAGAAGUAAGAACAGGAAGAAUAAAAUCACUGAUCUGAUGGCUUUGAAUAGCAAGAGAUCCAUCCAGUGGCUAAAAGUGUACUGCCAAUGAAAUCAACUCAUUUAUGUGGAGUAUACAGUAUAUACUUGUGGAAUGCCUGUCCCCCUUUCUCCUCUCCCUCACUUUUUCUCCUUAAAAUCUUAUAUUCGACCAUUAGGAAUGUCUGUUAAAUAAAUGCUAGUCCUUUACUUAUUACUGGAUAGGGAAUAAGGUCAUUAUACCUGAGCAGCCAUAAGGUGUGUUCUGUUUUUGUGGACAAAAAUGAAAACAUUUACUGUGACUGAAAGUUAACUGGGAUCAACAAACACUUAACAAAUUUCCAUUUUGGACUUCAAUGCCCUUCGAGCUGGGUGUUUUGGGUCUGAACUGUAUGCGUGGAGCAGGAGAGAUGGUGGUGCACUGUUUGUGUAGCGCCUGAAAAAAAAUCCAAACCACAGAACACUUCUACUCAGGAUCUGAUUUUUAAUUCACUCAUUGGAUGGUGUGUGUGAGCCCAGAUACUAAAGUGCUCCAGGUUAGACCAUUAUGCAUAUCUGAUGGGAGAAGUUAGCCAAAGUUCAGGGUACUGCUGCGCUUCUGUGUUAGGAGAUCGAUGAGACAAUCAGGCGGUCUUGAUGAAAUCUUGUAUUAUGACAAAGAACACACAAGGAACUGCUCCCUUGAACCCGUGGGGAAUCAGGCAGGAAAUAAUCUCUUUACACAUGAGGUCAGGUCUCUCUGCCCCAGCCAGCGCUCAUCCAGAUGCUUGUUCUUUCCCAUUUUGUCAGAGUUGCUAUGUGGUCUUUUUUUGUCUUCCUCCUCAGCUUUUCUAGUCUUGCUGUUUCUGUCACGCACAAUCCCUCACAGGAUAAUUGCCUGUGAAACCUCUCUGUCCACAUGUGUCUUUGUUUUGGGAGAUGGCAUGUAGUUAUGUUUGGGGUGGAGAUCAUUAUUGUUUCAAACAUCUGGUGUCAUAAAGAACCAUAAUGGCUUCUCUGAAUUUAUUCUGAAUGGAAGGAUGAAGCGUUACACCCACCAUCCUCCACUAGCUUUUACUCAGCUCAUCCCAGUAAAACGACUGGAAGCUGCUUUACCUAUCAGGCUGCUUAUUAAAGAAGAUGUCAGGAGAGGACUAUUGAACCUCAGCACAGAGAGGACAUGUGAUGAGUGACCUAUACAGCACUUGUGUUGUUGUGUCGGAAGAGUGAAAGACCCCUUACAGGAAGGGGUAGGCUCUGUAGUUAGAGGAGCAGAGAGAUGUUUCCCUUAAGGCAAUGACAAGGAUGCAUGUUGCCCUGAC
ensembl:lncRNA